rnacentral:rRNA from 1 species
AGUGAACGCUGGCGGUAGGCCUAACACAUGCAAGUCGAACGGCAGCACAGUAAGAGCUUGCUCUUACGGGUGGCGAGUGGCGGACGGGUGAGGAAUACAUCGGAAUCUACUUUUUCGUGGGGGAUAACGUAGGGAAACUUACGCUAAUACCGCAUACGACCUACGGGUGAAAGCAGGGGAUCUUCGGACCUUGCGCGAUUGAAUGAGCCGAUGUCGGAUUAGCUAGUUGGCGGGGUAAAGGCCCACCAAGGCGACGAUCCGUAGCUGGUCCGAGAGGAUGAUCAGCCACACUGGAACUGAGACACGGUCCAGACUCCUACGGGAGGCAGCAGUGGGGAAUAUUGGACAAUGGGCGCAAGCCUGAUCCAGCCAUACCGCGUGGGUGAAGAAGGCCUUCGGGUUGUAAAGCCCUUUUGUUGGGAAAAAAAAGCAGCAGGUUAAUACCCCGCUGUUCUGACGGUACCCAAAGAAUAAGCACCGGCUAACUUCGUG